rnacentral:tRNA from 1 species
AGUUAAUGAACUUGAACAAGUAUAUGUUUUGAAAACAUAAAAUAAAAAAUAAAAUUUUUUAUUAACUU